rnacentral:rRNA from 1 species
UGAGGAAUUUUGCGCAAUGGGCGAAAGCCUGACGCAGCGACGCCGCGUGAACGAUGAAGUCCUUCGGGAUGUAAAGUUCUGUCAGCAGGGACAAUUAUGAUGGUACCUGCAGAGGAAGGUCCGGCAAACUAUGUGCCAGCAGCCGCGGUAAUACAUAGGGACCAAGCGUUGUCCGGAUUUAUUGGGCGUAAAGGGCUCGUAGGCGGCGAGAUAAGUCAGAAUUAAAAGGCAGAAGCUUAACUUCUGUUCGGUUCUGGGACUGUCUUGCUUGAGAUUGGAAGAGGAAGAUGGAAUUAACAGUGUAGCGGUGAAAUGCGUAGAUAUUGUUAAGAACACCCGUGGCGAAGGCGGUCUUCUGGUCCAAAUCUGACGCUGAGGAGCGAAAGCGUGGGGAGCAAACAGG